CUCUGCUCACCCACCAGCUGUACGGCAAGUUCUCGGAUGCUGUUGGUGCCGCUACAGAGGAGGAGCGGCUGCUCAGAAUGCAGGCCGUCAUCCAGCAGCUGCCCGCUCCUCACUACAGGACACUGGCGUUCCUGAUGAGACACUUGGCGUGUCUGGCUGGGAG